GCCGGAACCUUGAUUUUGCUCGGUGUCGUGGCUGGCCGUACGUACCUCACAUAACGCGCUUACAGAGAGCUGCUGGGAGCUCACCGCUGCUGAGGGGCGGGCACCCUGCCGGCAGCUCCCGGCGCCACGGCCGGGCUGCGCCGAUCAGCGUGGCUCCGCCGCUGGCUUCCGAGCGGGCGGCCCCAAUCUCGCCGCCCCGGAGCUUUAAGGUCCCUCCCCGUUCACCUGCCGCCGCUUUUAACCCGCCCCUGGCCCGUCCCCGCCCGCGCCCCGCUGCUCCGGCCGCCCGCGGACCCGGGGCGGGGCCCGGCGCGUCCCCGCCGCUGUGCCCCGUGGAGGGGGCCGCGGGGCUUCGAGGAGAGGAUCACUAAGUGAAGUUGCCAGUCCCUGCAGAAAGAGAAAGGAAGAAGGGAUUUUUCCAGCUUUCAUCCUUCCUGCGAUAAAUCUCAGUUCCCAUAAAUUGAAGCCACUGAGAUGAUCUUUCCUCUAGUGCCAGGAUCCCCAGAUGGAAUCUUUGACAUGGCCAUCGGAGGGAAGGUCCUGCAACUGUACAUUUGACAAAAGAGCCCCCGUGCUGCUGACAGAUGAAUAUUUACCUCAUGGGAAAUUCUCCAGCUUUCCUCAGACUAUUGAAGUAAUGCCAUCAGGUAGAUUGCAGCUGACAGUAACCCACAUCACUGAAAAAGCUGCAGCAGGGAUUACAGAAAAGAGCUUGGAUCAGCACAGCACUAUGGCAGAUGGAUAUCAGCUAUCACAG